rnacentral:misc_RNA from 1 species
CUGAGUUCUGGGUCUAACCGACCCGACCUCCAACCCUUUGUUGUCCGACUCUGUUGCCUCGGGGGCGACCCUGACCUCCGGGUCUCCGGUCCCCCGGUGGACAUUCAAACUCUGUUUUAAUUUGUCGUCCGAGUAAAUUGAUUAAAUCAUAUCA